GCAAAAACAACUGCUGCAAUUGGUUCAGGAUCACCCCAUCUGAGAUACUGGACUGGGAUGAGGUCACAACCUGCAGAAAAAGAAAUCAAAUGGGAGUUUACCCAACCUGACAAAGCAAAAAUGAGGAUUACUCUCUCCAAAGUCUUGGGUGAGAAAUCAGUCCCCUGACCUCCACAUGGAAUAUGGACCAACUCAAGUGAGCGAUGACAUCUUUAACAUUUUGAUGGAGAUAUUUUCCAGUAACUGAUUUAAUCAAGAGAAACUCCCACUUCUCUUUCCCCCUACCACUGGAUUUCCUGCACCUUUACUUCAGAACUCCGAUGUAUUCUCUGUUCUGAGAAUAACUUCGUUUUCCUACAUGUAUUGCAUCGUUUCUGUCCUCUCCCUCCCUGCAUCUGAAUCCUGAUAUUCCACAUUUGACUGAAAAUAAAGCAUUAUUCUCUUCCUUUCUGUGAGCAACAA